UAAUACUGUAUAGGCAAUGUGUUCCUUUAAUGGUUUUUUGUUUAAAUUGUUUUUUCGCAUAAGGAUGGGUCUGCGGCGGAUUAGGUAGUUGUAUUAGGUAAUGGCUUACCAAGCCUUUGAUCGGUACGGUUUGUGAGAGCAAGAGCCCGGAGAUGGAUCCUGAGACGAGUUUUCAGUCCCUACGGGGUGCAGCAGGCGCGAAACCUCCGCAAUGUGAGAAAUCGCGACGGGGGGAUCCCAAGUGCCAUUCUUAACGGGAUGGCUUUUCAUUAGUGUAAAGAGCUUUUGGAAUAAGAGCUGGGCAAGACCGGUGCCAGCCGCCGCGGUAACACCGGCAGCUCUAGUGGUAGCAAUUUUUAUUGGGCCUAAAGCGUCCGUAGCCGGUUUAAUAAGUCUCUGGUGAAAUCCUGUAGCUUAACUAUGGGAAUUGCUGGAGAUACUAUUAGACUUGAGACCGGGAGAGGUUAGAGGUACUCCCAGGGUAGAGGUGAAAUUCUGUAAUCCUGGGAGGACCGCCGGUUGCGAAGGCGUCUAACUGGAACGGUUGUGACGGUGAGGGACGAAAGUUAGGGGCGCGAACCGGAUUAGAUACCCGGUAGUCCUAACUUAAACGAUGCGGACUUGGUGU
rnacentral:rRNA from 1 species